UGGAAAUUUCUAUCACAGUUU
rnacentral:piRNA from 1 species